rnacentral:lncRNA from 1 species
AAAAUUUCAGAAGAUAAGACGGAAAAACCAAUAUAUAGCACAUUCAUGGUUGGCAUGUCUUUCUUAAUUAGAUAGGGGUAAGCAUCUGACCAGUUACUGUUAUUACCCCUGGAACUAAUUAAUGUUUUCCACGGUAGCACCCAGAUUUAAACAUGAAGUUCAACAUUCACUUUUUAAUAAAGAAAAGGUCUAUUAGUAGCCUCAGAUGAGUCAGUUAGGCCUUUAACAUUUCUAUAGAAAAAAUUGAGUAGUUUUAAUCCACUAACUAUUUAAAUUUGGCACAAAAUGUCCUGUAAUGAAGUUGUCCUUUAAGUUAACUUUUGCAGAGUGAUAGCAGAUAUUAAACCCCCUCAAGAUACAGAAUUUUCACAUAUUAUUUUCAUGUUUAUUUUUUAUAAGUUCCAACAUUUGAUACAAACUAACCCUUCCUCACCCCAUCGAACUACUACCUGCGCCAUGAACUCGAUGGUAUGAGAGCCAACGAUAAGAACAAAG